CCCAUGCAGUACACUUGUACUCUUUAGUCAAUCAGGUUUUAGCCUGUCAGUUGACCAAUCAUAUCUCACUGUGGGUGUAUGAAUUGCAUGCCAUGAGUGUACCAACCUGGAUGCUGACAUCAUCAGCGCGAGACCACAAUUCAAGUUACCAUUCAGCAGAGGUAUGUGCAGUUGAUCAGUUUUUUUUUAGUUAACUAGCCAAGUAAAGGUUUAUCAUUUUGUUUUUGCAUGUUUACUUACAACUUGGAUGUAAAAUUGGUUGUUUAGACACUCAAUAAUGUGAACAAUGUAAGCCAGCGGCAGCUAUGAAUACAUAUAGUGUUGCCAAAACUGCAGCUGUUUUGUGUCAGCCACAAUUUCUGGCCAAAAUGAAGAAAGGAAUUAUCCUUAUUUCCCUGGUUUUCUUCAGCAACGCUGGGUGGCCAGUGUCCGGCCUAGCUGCCACUUAGCACUGACCCUGCCCUCAUCAGCAUAGCUUUAUAAUGAUGAAUAGACCUCAUGAGGACUCAGUGUUUGAACAACGGAUUUAAACACUUUAGCACAACAUCUGACAGUUGAUGACAGUUACAGACAUCUUCAUUCACAUUAUUCUUUAUCUCUUUCAUGUACAUCCCCUUUAUUUAUUAAUUUCUUAAUGUAAUCAACAUUCAUUUACUUUUCAUGUUAUAUUACUGUGAUUAACCAUUGUUAAUGUUAUUUUUAUGUUGUGUUGUGUGUUGUAAUCUCAAAGAUUUUUACAUCACAAGAUGAUUUUGGUAAGCAGCAGUUGUAUUUGCUUGGUAACUGUUGUGGAAUGUAUGCUGGUCAGACAAAGACUGAUCAUAAAGAAGAAUGCAACAAAGAUCAUUCAGUAAUUUUUAUUCAGUUAUAUUAUCAUUUUAUCUCAUGCUUUCUGCUAUUUCUGUAUCUGCAUCUCUUGUAAAAACAUAAGCGUUAGCAUGCCAAGGUAUUAACUGCUUUAAAUAUCAAACCAAAACCUGGCACGUCCUGACAGAGAGAGAUAGUGAAAGACUGGAUCUUAAACAUUUGAUUAAUUGACUUUUCACAUGAUGUAUUACACUGAUACAAUUAUCAUUCAGCCAUAAAAUGUACUUUUAAAGACUCUAAAUGGGACACUAUACCAACCAUUCAGUGUAACUGAGGUUUAAAUAAAACUGGUGAACUUCUAGCACAGUGUCAAACUUGCAUCGAGCCAAUCUCAGAUCUAUGCGAGAGACAUAUAUUCAACUGUGCUACAUUUGUACUCCAUAAUUUUCAAUUCAUAUUUCAUGUUACAGGCACAUUGCAAUUAAUCAUGGUCAGGUCAUUUCAUGGACAUUUUAUUCCCAAAGUAUUCAGAAAACUUUAAUAAACUUUAAUAAAUUAAUAAAUCUUAC
ensembl:lncRNA